UAUAAUUUUUAACUGUCUUAUUUAAAUUUUUUUAUUGAUAUUUUUGUUUUUGUUAGAUGAUAAAUCAUGAAUAGAAUUUUAUGUGUGACUAAUUUUUUUUAAUUUCCUAAAAAAUUUUCAAAUAAGACGGAUGGUCAAACGUUAGACACGGAAACCGAAG
rnacentral:pre_miRNA from 1 species